GGGAGGCUGGGAGGAGACACAGCCAGAGCAGGUGCCAAAGGGAUAUCCCCGACCAUGUGACACAUGCUCUGUGGUGGUAAGAAGGAGGAAGGAUGGAUGUUCAGGGUUACAGUGUUCAUCCUCCCAAGUCCCUGUUACACCUGGUGGGGCCCUGCUCUCCCGGGGAUGGCCGAACACCUGUCUGUCCAUGGGAAGCAGGGAAUUCAUUCCUUGCUUUGCUUUGCACAGCUUUUGCUUUCCCUAUUAAACUAUAUCAGCAUAUGUUGUAUAUAUUCUAAUUGUGUGUAUUUUACUAAACUGUUGGGUUUCUUAAUACCCAGCUAUUCCUCUUAUUGUUUUUUUCUGAGUCACAGACAAGGACAGUAUGGCAUGGACAGUACUUUCUGAUAAAUGAAUUGACUUUGCAGUAUGUAUUUCCUUCUGCGGUCUUCCAUGAUAUAACUACAGUUUUAAUGCUUCUUUCCUCUCUCCCUCAGUUGUUUUUUAUGAGAAAAAAAAUUAAAGACAAAGCAAUGUUUGUUGCAAAGUUGGAGUUCUGUGACAGUUGUGUCUUAUAAAUUCUAGAAAUUAAAGUUUUGCGUUAGAAAAAUAAAAAUAUAUUCAUCCCAUAGCAAAUUGGUAUUACAGUAAAUGUAAGGCAAUUCUUGUAAUGAUUAAUACUCAUAGUGAUUUAGAGAUGUUCAUUGUGCCAGGAAGAUGACAAAAACUUUAAAGCAAAAUUUGAAGUGGGAUCCAAACUAUAUUUUAUCUUUGCAGUGAAUGUGUUUUAUGCAUGGAACAGUAAUUAUUUUUUAAUAGUGGCAUACAUGAUUAGAUCAGCUGCAGAGGAGAUGCUAUGGCAACAGUCGUGGUGACAAAGAACAGCCGUGCAGUUGUGUCACUGCUCACUUCACAGGACAUGAUAUCAACAGGCACUAUGUUUCAAAGGCUAGACUUCAGCCCUGUGUGUUGGAAUCCUUUUGUAAUUUAAAAAAUAUUUACUGAGCAUUUUUUUCCCUGAUCACACACUGCUGAGAGAGAUUUUAGUGCAGUGGACUCCAAAACUUGAAUCUCUGUCCUUUGCCUGACUGCCACUGAAAGUCGUGGCAGACAUUUCAAAUCUAGGGGAAAUAAGAGCCCUGCCUUUGUAUCAAGUGUUUUCAGAGAGGAUUAAAAAGUACAAAUUUCUAAUAGAGAAUAUUCCUAUUGAAACACACAAACCCUAAAUUCCACUCUAAGAAAUCUGGAAUAGAUUGGUUUAAUGUUACCUCCAGACAGGUGGGUGAGGUGAGGAAUUUCUCUUGCCUCUUUCCUUUUGUUUAAAUGUUUUUGAAUGUGAGAAUAUUUAAUCAUUUUCAUUAGCUAAAUCUUGGAAAUUAGAAAAACACCAAUCUCUUUAAAAAUUAAGUAUUCUUGAAUUGACUUCACUACUUUCUAUGCCUACUGAAUCACAUUUGUUUAGAAGAAUAUUAUGUAUAAAAUUACUUUAAAAUUUUAUAAGCCUGUCUUACUUUUGAAGGCCUAAUGCGUGCUAGAGAUGCAUUGAUAUCACAAAAUUAUUUUUCAAGGCUAGCUGAAAAUGUGAUUUCUGACAAAAAAAAAAAAUCAUCUUGACUCUUUUGCACCCUUUCCCUUUCUCCAAAGCAUUUUAGAUCAGUAUGUUCUAAACUUUUGAAAAUUUCGAACAUUUCUGGCAUUUACAGUUCUGCCAAAGGGUCUGAAUGUGAACGCUUGUUUUUAUCGGCCCCAGUGGACCCAACUGUAAUCUUUGUAAGGUGAUAGCGUGUGUUCCUUUGCAUGUUUUAAUGCAGCUGUGGUGAUGUAGGAUUUAUAUUACUAAUAAAGGUCCCACAAAUGUUCAUUCAAAGCAUCUGUAUGAUUCUAUACAGUGCCUAGCAAAGAGGGUCAUUGAUAUGACAUAGAUGAUGCUUUAUAUGCAAUUAUUGUUUCAGGACAGUUGGUUUGCUGUAUGCACGUAAGACAUUUUAACCAUUAAAGUCUGUUUCAGGUCCUUAAGCUGACCAAGUUAAAUAGAAAUGUCCCUCCCCCUGGUACCUUACUCAUUGGCCAAUGCAAAAAGCUUGUAUUUAUAUUGCAGUCUUUUGCUUGCCAGACUAAAGAGGCACAUGGCUUGCAAUAAUUGACCUGGGCACAUCCACACAGUGAUCUGCACAGAAGCAUGAGCUUCACAAGCCUGGUCAUGAGAGAAAAGUGCCACCCUUGUCAUCCUACCUGCUGUGGGAGCACAGGGCAGGUACCAGGCUGAGGGGCCCUCCCGGGAGGCAAAGCUUGUGAGCUCAGGCUCUAACACCAAUGCGGCCAAAUGCUGAGGGAGAAGAAAAAGUCUGAUUGUAAGAACUGGGCAGAGGGGAAGCUUCUAUCAAUCUGUAAAUCCCUACUCACAGCAGUAGAGACAGGAGCUGGAAAAGUUCUCCUUACUACUUUCACUGUAUUUAAAGAUCAGGAAAACAGUGUAUAACUGAAUACUGUAAUUCUAAGUAGAAUAUCCUGAUCAUGGCUCUAAAGCAUCUGACAUAGAUGGAUUUAGUACUAAACUUUUAAUUUGUUUUGAAGUUAAGCAAAACCAUCAAUGCUUUUUUGUAAAGUUCUUAUUUAUAUAUAUCCAUUACUGUGUGCAUGGCUCUAGUUUAUUUUGAGCAAUUCUUAAAUUAGGGCUUAAUCAUUUAGGGGAAGAUGACAUGGGUUUAACAUUGUGACAUCUUUCAUCGUUAUUGCCUCUUUCUUAAAUAAUAUAAUUUGUGACAAAUGUGAACAUUAAUUACAUUUAACAUAGAAAUAUAACUUGAAGUGAUUGUAUUUUAAAAAACAUCCAAUCAGUGAGAUUAUAUCUUACACCAAGCUUUAGCUCAAAGUUCAAAAGUCAGAAAUCAAAUACCAUCAGUUAUCAAAUUAUGUUAAUGGUUCUAAUGAAAGCUUCUGGUAUUUUGCUCAACACUGUGUUGCUGUUAUGGUAACUAAUAGGACAAGAAAGGCUGAUGGCCAUGAAAAAAUUAGAACUGACUGCUAGAGGGUUUUUUUUUGGUUUUGUUUUUUUUUUCCCCUGUUUUUUUUUUUUUUUUUUUUUAAACAUAUUUGACAGUCUGUUUAGUCACCCAGAGUUACUGUGUGGUACACUCAGCUUUUUCAUCUGGCAUAAGAAGGGCACAAACUGUAUUUUAUAACCAUUUUAGACCACUUUAAUUCCCCCACUUUAAGAAACACUUUCACAUUAUAAGUUUUUGCAGGCCAGCAAAGAAAAUUAAAGACUGAUAUUUUGUCAUAAAUCUUUACAAGAAACUCUGCACUUACUACAUACAUUAUUCUGAAAUAUCUGCAUAUAUUUUGCAGAGUUGAAAAAGGAAUAAUUGAUGACAAUUUCUGUUGUAUCAAUUAGAUAUAAAUGUUUAGAACUUGAUGCUGUUGAGGGGCAGAUUUAUUUUGCUGUGUAUUGACUUGAAGGGUUGAAUGCUGCAAAUGAGAAAUUCUAAUAAUUUCUCACCUUGUGUAGUAAUACAGCUUAGCAUUAGCUGAAGCUUUGCAAAGUUUCCUAAGAAAUCUGAAGGAUUUAGUUUUAUUAAAAUAGGACUCUCUCUUUAUUUUCCCUCUUGCUCUUGAUAGCUCUGGAGGAUCAAUUCCUAAUUUUCUUGACUAAAAUUAUUUCAUAAUGUUUUGUGAAGUAAAUUAUAGCACUUUGUUAGAAAACCCUAAAUGUCUUGAGAAACUUGCACAUUUUAUUUACAUACUUAAAUUACUGAUGGGACUUGGAGCAUUGAUAGUGUAUGCUAGUUGUUAUCAAGUACUACAUUAAAGAUGUACCUCUUUGUUCAGAUUCUUUACCUAUUAAAACCCCCAAAUCUGAAGUAAUCCAAAAUAAUGCAAGUAGAGAAUAUUCAAAGGCUAUAAAUAACAAUUAUUAUGAUUGACGAACACCCAAUGUUGAGGGAAGCAAUUAUUUGUCUCUGUCCAGAUUUGAAGACACUUCCUUGUAAGCAUCCCAAAAGCAUUUCCAUGGCUGGGAUGUGUGUGUGUGUAUAUAUAUAUAUUAAAGUCAUGUUGUGUGGUGGGAAUGCUGUGGAACUGGGGCUGAGCUGGGGGAGUACAUAGAUUGUAGGUAAGGUAAAUCAGCUCCUGAGGAUUAAGGAACUUCCAUGUAGCUAUUACAUUAUUUUCAAAGUCUUAGUCAUGCUCAGUCCCCACGUUUUGAUUUUUAUUUCCUUUUAUGUAUAGAACUAUCUCAGUGUGUUCUGCUAUAUCUGUGGGCAACAGUGAUGGACUUGAAAUUACUGAGUACAGAGAGCAACCUUUUGCUCACUCACUUUGUACUUAGGUAUUGUGAAAUACCAUUAUGCUAAUUUGACACCUUCCUCCCCAGGAUGUUUUAACAUAGAAGAGAUGCAAUAAAUAUUUUAAAAUAUUUUUAAGGAAGAAUGCACUGGACAAAGGGAGAGAACACUACAGUGGGUUUAUUUUCUCUUUGUCAUACUAGGAGUAAGUCUUGGACUUCUAUUUUUUCCCUCCAUAGACAGAGAAAGGUGCUUCUAAGUUUUGAAGCAGAGGAUUACUUUUUUAAUAAUUUUGAACCUGGAAGCUAAAGCAGGCAGGAUUCCUGAAUAUGUGAUCACUAUGAAAAAUCUGUGUACAACAGCUUUUGAGUAUGUUCAGUGCAGAGGUUUCAGAUGUACAUUUUGAGUUUUCUCUGAUGAUAACCUGACUGUAAAUUUACUUGUUGUAGUCCAGAGUGAUAUCCUUGUAAUUGUUAAUUAGUGCAUUGUAAAAGCUGCAGGAUGUUAAUAAGAGCCUUAAAGCUUACAAAUAGCAUUCACUAUAUUUAAAGGGAAGGCAACAAAUUUUAUCUGAAAGAGAAGACAGAGCACCUUUUAAUUUCAUAGUGAUAAAAAUAAUGCUGCACAUAUUAAUGUUAGAGCAUGUUACUGUCAGUAGACCCGUGGCAACCUCAGGCUGACUUUCUGAAAUGUAGUAUCAAAACAAACGUCACAUUUCUCAUGCAAGUUCUUACAUUUUAAUGCCGAGUGUGCAAUAUUCUGUAUUUUACUAUGGACACAGCACAUUCAAAGCUGUAUUCUUAAAGCUUUAACUAUACUAGCCCAUUUGGGUUUUGUCUGUUAAAGUCCAUUGCAAAACUGCAGUCAAAAACUAUAAGAAUCUUGAACUACAUUUAAUACUUUUUGUUUCUUGUGCAUUUAAUAAAUGUAGGGAGUCGUGCACACAUCUGGAUACAAACAUAUACCAAAUUUAUUUCAUCCACUAUUUACUCAAACAGAAACUGAUAAAUAAUACUUUCACAUUUUUGUUGUGUUUUAUUUCUGCCACACCAGGGGCUCAAAAAAUGAAUGUGUCAGUAAAGGAUUUGACAGUGUGUUACGACAGUCAUCAAUCCAGCAAGCCCUGUAGCCAUAAAUAAGCUUCAUACAGUGCCACACUAAAGAGGACAGUUUUUCUUCUGCAGGACAUUGAAAAUGUCAGGGCAAGGGAAUUGUUUGUCCCUGUCUCCACGACAACGCCACCAGCACUUAUCAUUAAGUUUCACACCAAGAUUUUAAUCAGUGGUCUUUGUGGCAUAAGACUGAGUCAACAUCAGCCCAAAUUUUCGAAGCCGUUAUUCUAAUUAUGACGAGGAGCUAUAGAUUGAUGAGC
ensembl:lncRNA